GGUACUUGGGAGGAAUGGGCCUUGGAGGGAAAAUCAAGAUUCGGUUUUGGACAUGACAUUUGAGAGAGACCGUGAGAAAUGCAAGUGGGAAUUUCAGUCGGCUGUGGGAGCGUAUGGGAUUGGAAA